rnacentral:rRNA from 1 species
GACGAACGCUGGCGGCGUGCUUAACACAUGCAAGUCGAACGGAAAGGCCCUGCUUUUGUGGGGUGCUUGAGUGGCGAACGGGUGAGUAACACGUGAGUAACCUGCACUUGACUUUGGGAUAACUUCAGGAAACUGGGGCUAAUACCGGAUAGGAGCUCCUGCUGCAUGGUGGGGGUUGGAAAGUUUCGGCGGUUGGGGAUGGACUCGCGGCUUAUCAGCUUGUUGGUGGGGUAGUGGCUUACCAAGGCUUUGACGGGUAGCCGGCCUGAGCGGGUGACCGGCCACAAUGGGACUGAGAGACGGCCCAGACUCCUACGGGAGGCAGCAGUGGGGAAUAUUGCACAAUGGGCGGAAGCCUGAUGCAGCGACGCCGCGUGCGGGAUGACGGCCUUCGAGUUGUAAACCGCUUUCGCCUGUGACGAAGCGUGAGUGACGGUAAUGGGUAAAGAAGCACCGGCUAACUACGUG